rnacentral:tRNA from 3 species
GGGCGUAUAGCUCAGCGGUAGAGCACUACGUUGACAUCGUAGGGGUCACUGGUUCAAUCCCAGUUACGCCCACCA